rnacentral:rRNA from 1 species
UUCUUUAAAUGAGGACCAGUAUCAACGGCAUCACGAGGAUCCUACUGUCUCCCCCCUCUAAUCAGUGAAACUGAUCUCUCCGUGAAGAAGCGGGGAUGAAUCUAUAAGACGAGAAGACCCCAUGGAGCUUUAAACCCGACAGCACCCGCUUACUUUAUACCCAAUUAUAUGCCCGUUGCCUGUCUGCUCGGUUUUAGGUUGGGGUGACCACGGAGUACAAAAUAACCUCCAUGAAAAAGGGGAUAAAUACCCUUAUUAGAGAACAACACUUCCAAAAACUAACAAAUUAAUUUCUAAUGAUCCGACAUUCGAUCAACGAACCAAGUUACCCUGGGGAUAACAGCGCAAUCCACCCC